GCCCCGAAAAUGGAUGGC
rnacentral:snRNA from 1 species